UGUCACGCACAGUUUUAUAGUUGACAGACUUUAAUCAGACAUGUCGACUGGACGUUAUCUCGUUCUUUUACUGCUUCUCAGCUGUAACAUCAUACCCUGUGACACUUUUAGUGUAGCGUUGACCACAGGAACAGGAUCAAAAACUGGCACAAGCACAGGCUCGAACACUGGCACAAGCACGGGCUCCAGCACUGGCACAAGCACAGGCUCGAACACUGGCACAAGCACAGGCUCGAACACUGGCACAAGCACAGGCUGGAACACUGGCACAAGCACGGGCUCCAGCACUGGCACAAGCACAGGCUCGAACACUGGCACAAGCACAGGCUGGAACACUGGCACAAGCACAGGCUCGAACA